GAUACCGUUGAAAAUUCCACAAUGUCAUUUUCAAUUACGACCCAAAAUCUCCCCGUAACUCCAAGGGAUUCAACCGAAAAAUCGAUACAAAAAUCGUCCAAAAAAUCUGAAAAUCUCAAAAAAUCUCAGUCUGGAAAGACUUUCAAAUUUUUUGGGAGACUUUUGAGGAGAUUUUUCGAUCGAAUCUUUUAAAGUUGCUGGAAGAUUUUGAAUGGUAAUUGAAGAGGAUAUUGUGGACUUUUAAAUGGUAUC
rnacentral:miRNA from 1 species